GGCACGCCCGAAGUCGUUACUCUAACCUUAUUGGAGGAGGGCGCCGAAGGCAGGGCUAGUGACUGGGGUGAAGUCGUAACAAGGUAGCCGUACCGGAAGGUGUGGCUGGAUCACCUCCUUUUAGGGAGACCCAAUUCAGUUAACAGUUGACAGUUAACAGUUAACAGUUAACAAAAAAACUGCUUACUGAAUUCAUCCCAAGGUCGUGCAAGGGAAAAAAAGCCAAAGCUUUCAAACUAUGAAGUCGGUUCGGAUGAAUCAGCCGUCAGCCAAAAACUGAUAACUGAUAACUGACAACUGAUAACUGACAAGGGCUAUUAGCUCAGGUGGUUAGA
rnacentral:misc_RNA from 1 species